UUCACUAAUAACAGUGAGAUACACAGAGUAGUGAUCCAAUGAAAAGAAAUGGCCAUGAAACAAAUAUUCAAAAGAAUAAGUACGUCAUACAAACUCUUGCUACAGAAGGAAAGAAUAAAGUGUUCUCAGGACAUGUAAUAGAGGGAGACAUCUGGUAGCAUUGAAGAUAUCCCCGGCAAGGAUGAGAUUUGAACUGAAAUAUGAAAGAAGAGAGAGAGUUUAAUUAAACAGCAUAGAGAAGGGAAAAGUGAAAAAUUCUGAGAGUGAACUGUAUCUUCCAAAGCUCUGUGGUAGGAUAAAAGCAUGGCACAUUUAAGAAAUGGAAGGAAAGCCCGCGUGUCUGAAGGAGAGAAACAGAGGGAGAGGAAGGUCAAGGCACUGGAUAAGGAGAGCAGACCCCAGAGUUGAAGUGUCAUGCGGCCUUGCUGUAGACCUGCGUGCCAACGGUGACAGAGAAGGAAAUAGUGACUGGGUUGCCCAAGAGGUGAUUUACUUUGAAGAGCAUCUGGUUAGGAGGAACUCAUCUCAGUGAGGGAUAAAAGUUGUUUCUAACUGACUGAAAGCAAAUCAUUCAGGAUUUUCUGGUACAAAACAAUAUGAAUUUAUUAGCAGAUCGAUGGUAAGUUUGAAAACACAUGAGGACCCUGAUACAAAGUCCUGAUAAGACCAAAGAAGCUAAAGCCAAAGAAAUCAUUGCCAUCCCUGCAUAUUUGAGCCAUGCUCAUUCCAUGUCAUGAAAACACAUUGUGAGAGAAAUUACAUAUCCACAGUGAAGUCUCUUCUUUAUAAAAAGCAUAUUUUUCUUAUUUUAACAUGAGAGAUGUUUGAGAGAUGCCAGAAGAAUGUUGCAAACACUGUGAGCAACUAAGAAAACUAUGAAAAAAAUUGUUAAGAAAAUAUUAAAGGGCAAUAUCAGAAUAUCAUGGGGUGUUGCUACAUAGACCAGUGGUUUUAAAUCAGGCUGCAUAUUAGAAUUACUUAAGGGCUUUAAAAAUCAAAACAACCAGACACAAACCCCAAAUUUGAAUCAGAGUACUUGAGAUAAGACCUUUGCCUUUUUUAUCAUUUAUUAAUAUUGUUAUUAUUAUUAUUAUUAUUAAAACACCCCAGGGAUUUCUAAUGUGCAGUAAGGUUUGGGAAACACUGACUUGGACCAACAGGCAGAUUAAAAAUUUUAAAAUGCUGCAUUUGGUCCAGAAAAAUAUUUUCCUCCAUUUAUCAUUCUCUCAUCUUUCCUAAAUAAUAGGUUCCCUGUAGAUCAAAUGUCAUGAAUUGCUACCUUUUCUCUUUGCCAAGAAUUCCAGAAGUUCAG
rnacentral:lncRNA from 10 species